rnacentral:rRNA from 1 species
UACGUAGGUGGCAAGCGUUGUCCGGAUUUACUGGGCGUAAAGGGCGUGCAGGCGGUUUGUUAAGUGCAGGGUGAAAGCUCCCGGCUCAACUGGGAGAGGUCCUUGCAUACUGGCGAACUCGAGGGAGGCAGAGGAAAGUGGAAUUCCCGGUGUAGUGGUGAUAUGCGUAGAUAUCAGGAGGAACACCGGUGGCGAAGGCGGGUCUCUGGGCCGAUACUGACGCUAAGGAGCGAAAGCGUGGGGAGCGAACAGG